GGUUCGGUGGUGUAGUUGGUUAUCACAAUGGUUUAACAUCGAGUAAUGCCUGAUUCAGUCAAGCAAUUCAAUGGUACACCAUAGGUCCUCGGUUCAAGUCCGGGCCGAAUCA